CAGCCGUAAACAAUGCUCGCUAGGUGUCAGGCAUGGCGCGACCGUGUCUGGUGCCGCAGGGAAGCCGUGAAGCGAGCCACCUGGGAAGUACGGCCGCAAGGCUGAAACUUAAAGGAAUUGGCGGGGGAGCACAACAACGGGUGGAGCCUGCGGUUUAAUUGGACUCAACGCCGGACAACUCACCGGGGACGACAGCAAUAUGUAGGCCAGGCUGAAGACCUUGCCUGAAUCGCUGAGAGGAGGUGCAUGGCGUAGACGUCU
rnacentral:rRNA from 1 species